CACAGCCGGAGCCAUUUUCAAGGACACAGCCUUGAGAGAGCGCUGUGUUGAUGAGACCGUCAGAAAUGGAGCCUUUGCGGAACCCAUUAAGGCUCUCGAGACAAGCCUCUCGUAGGCUCCAGUGAGCUCAGUCUCUCUUCUCCCGGGGCAGACUGCGCGACCAGAGGGAACUCCAGAGAGGCUCCAUGAAGGCAUUUUCUCUGACUCUUCUCCAGCCCAAACUCCUGGGUCCCUGGGAACUUUCAGCUCUCUUCCGGCAGCUUCUCCAAGCCUCUCCCAGAGGAGGCGGAGGAUGCCCCCUGGGUUCUCUGAAAAGCUGCUCCACCCAUAGACCAUAAGCGCCACCAAUAGACCAUAAGUGCCACCACGGGCUGAGAGCGCGGAUCACAGCAUGCUGGGAGGAAGCCAGACCCCUGGCGCCGGGCUGCCUGGGUUCAAAUCCCAGUUGCUAGGUGGGUGUGCUUGAGGGUGACCUUGGGCAAGUUACCCAGCCUCUCUGUUCCCAUUUUUUUCCGACGUAAAAUAAAGAUAAUAGUGCCCACCCCAGGGGGUUGUUGUAAGGAUUAUAUGAGUAUAUACAGAGCACUCAGUAUUA